rnacentral:tRNA from 1 species
GAGGAUAUAGCUCAGUGCACAUAGAGCACAUGCUUAGCACACACGAGGUCCUGGGUUCAAUCCCCAGUGCCUCCA